rnacentral:rRNA from 1 species
UACGGAGGGUGCAAGCGUUAUCCGGAAUCACUGGGUUUAAAGGGUGCGUAGGCGGCUUGGUAAGUCAGGGGUGAAAGCCCGCAGCUUAACUGCGGAACUGCCUUUGAUACUGCCGAGCUUGAAAGAGGUUGAGGUCAGCGGAACGUGACAUGUAGCGGUGAAAUGCAUAGAUAUGUCACAGAACACCAAUUGCGAAGGCAGCUGGCUGGACCUACUUUGACGCUGAGGCACGAAAGCGUGGGGAGCGAACAGG